GUGGUGCCAGUAUAGGGUUGUGCCAGUGGUGUGGUGCUGUGCUCAGGUAAAGCUUGUUCCAGUGGUGUGGUGCUGUGUUCAGGUAAAUCUCGUUCCAGUGGUGUGGUGCUGUGUUCAGGUAAAGGUCGUUCCAGUGGUGUGGUGCUGUGUUCAGGUAAAGGUCGUUCCAGUGGUGUGGUGCUGUGUUCAGGUAAAGGUCAUUCCAGUGGUGUGGUGCUGUGUUCAGGUAAAGGUCGUUCCAGUGGUGUGGUGCUGUGUUCAGGAUUUGGUUUUUAUGUUUUGAGGUUGGACUUUAGCACGUAUAGCACAUUAGCCCGCAUGUUAGUUGUCUCUCCCUAUUUUAAUUUCUAGAAAAACAUUCCUAUGUCUGAUCUUUCCUGUUUUUGUUGUGCUCAACUUUUUGAUUUGCUUCCUGUCUUUUAAGUUUGGUGUGGGUUUUUCUUUUGUUUUCCUCUUAGUGAGUACAUUUAGUGGGCGUUCAUGGUGGGUGUCUUUUAGGUCCCACUUGUUGUUGAUAUUUAACUUUCAGUGGACACCCCAAUGAGUGUCUUUCAGAAGCCAUCCUAGAACCCCACCUGUUUCAUUUUGGUUGUUGUCAGUGACUCUUUGUUAGUUCCCCCUCCAGUUUGAGCGGCAAUUUAGGUUUUCAUGCUCGGGAACGCAACCAAAUGGGGGCUCGUCCGGGAUCUAAUUUCCCAUGAGUGUGGUCGUUGCUCUAGUCACGUACUUUGAAGAUCUGCUGUUCCCAGAUAUUUGAGUGUUCAAAACACACUUUCAUGGAAGAGUUUCUUUCACUUAUAAACUUGAGGGGUUAAAAGAUUAGUGGAAUAAUUUUUUAAGUUGCAUAAACACACAGGCUUAUACAUAUCAAAGCCAUGGACUUUAAUUUGGAAGCAUUUGUGGAAAACCCAACAUGGGAGAUGGAAACUAUUAUGCUUGUCGGAUGUGGUAGGGCUUGUAAACCAUUACGGACUACAAAGGGAAUCCCAGCCGCGAGCUGCCCAGUGACGCGAGCCUACCAGACGGGCUAAAUGCCUUUUAUGCUCGCUUCGAGGCAAGCAACACUAAAGCACGCAUGAGAGCACCAGCUGUUUCGGAUGACUGUGUGAUCACGCUCUCUGCAGCCGAUGUGAGCAAGACCUUUAAACAGGUCAACAUUCACACGGAUUACCAGGACGUAUACACAGAGCAUGCGCGGACCAACUGGCAAGUGUCUUCACUGACAUUUUCAAACUUUCCCUGACAGAGUCUGAAAUACCUACAUGUUUCAAGCAGACCACCAUAGUCCCUGUGCCCAAGAAAACAAAGGUAAACGACUACUGCCCCGUAGCACUUGGUAGCAAUGAAGUGCUUUGAAAGGCUGGUCAACACCGUCAUCCCGGGAACCCUAGACCCACUCCAAUUCGCAUACCGCCACAACAGAUCCACAGAUGAUGCAAUCUAAAUCUCAUGCCACACUGCCCUUUCCCACCUGGACAAAAGGAACACAUACAUGAAAAUACUGUUCAUUCACCCACGACUGUGUGGCCAAGCACAACUCCAACACCGUCAUUAAGUUUGCUGACGACACAACAGUGGGG
rnacentral:lncRNA from 1 species